rnacentral:pre_miRNA from 1 species
UAUAAGAGAUUUUGAGUUUUUGUGUGUACUGUUUGAUCACUCGUCUUAUUAAAAAAUUUUAAAAUUAUUUUUCUUUUGAUUUACUUUACUAUCCAAAGUACUUUAAGCACAACUUUUCGUUUUUUAUAUUUACAUAAAUUUUUUAAAUAAGACGAGUGGUCAAACAGUACAACUAAAAACUCAAAAUCCCUUAUA